UACUAUGCUCUUUAAGGAAUAUAGAUUCCAGA
rnacentral:piRNA from 1 species